rnacentral:rRNA from 1 species
AGCAGGCGCGCAAAUUACCCAAUCCCGACACGGGGAGGUAGUGACAAUAAAUAACAAUACGGGGCUCUUUCGGGUCUCGUAAUUGGAAUGAGUACAAUUUAAAUCCCUUAACGAGGAACAAUUGGAGGGCAAGUCUGGUGCCAGCAGCCGCGGUAAUUCCAGCUCCAAUAGCGUUNAUUAAAGUUGUUGCAGUUAAAAAGCUCGUAGUUGAAUUUCGGGAUUGACACAUCGGUCGUGCCUUAAGGGGUAUGAACUGGUGUAGUCAAUUUCUCACCUUCUGGAGAACCGCGAUGCCCUUAAUUGGGUGUCGCGGGGAACCAGGACCUUUACUUUGAAAAAAUUAGAGUGUUUAAAGCAGGCAUUUUGCUUGAAUACAUUAGCAUGGAAUAAUAAAAUAGGACGGCAUGAUUCUAUUUUGUUGGUUUCUAGGAUCACCGUAAUGAUUAAUAGGGAUAGUUGGGGGCAUUAGUAUUCAAUUGUCAGAGGUGAAAUUCUUGGAUUUAUUGAAGACUAACUACUGCGAAAGCAUUUGCCAAGGAUGUUUUCAUUAAUCAAGAACGAAAGUUAGGGGAUCGAAGACGAUCAGAUACCGUCGUAGUCUUAACCAUAAACUAUGCCGACUAGGAAUCAGACGAUGUUAAUUUUUUAAUGACUCGUUUGGCACCUUACGGGAAACCAAAGUGNUUGGGUU